CCUUCCCUAUCCACUUACCGGAGGGGUCUCACUCUGACUCUAGAGCAUUGCAUUCCUCUCCUCUUUCUUUCCAUGGCCAUGGCGUCCGCUUCUCUAUCGUCGGCCUUGAAUCAACAACACCUCUUCAAUCUACCCAAACAGUGCUCAAUUCUUAAUCUUAGAUUCUUCUCCUCCACGUCAUGCUACUCCCUCAAUCCUUCGCCAUGUCGCGUCUUUUUCCGCCGCCGCGUGCACGCGCUGAGCUCCUCUUCGGUUUUUUCCCGAAGCUACUCCAAGUGCCAGAAUAGAUAUCCAGAUUACGGUGGCAGGAAGUUUUCCCAAGUUCCGAAUCUCCGCCAUUUCAUGCCCAGGGCCACUGCCGCAGUCGCCGACGGCGGCGUUUCCGGUCCCCAGGUCGACCCUACAAUUGAGUCGGGUGUUUCUCCAAGAGGUAGGAUAUACCAUGAAACUUAUGGAUGCCAGAUGAAUGUCAAUGAUAUGGAAAUUGUCCUAUCCAUCAUGAAGAAAGCUGGAUUUGGUGAAGUGGUGGAGACUCCUGAGGCUGCGGAGAUCAUAUUUAUAAAUACAUGUGCUAUCAGAGACAAUGCAGAACAGAAGGUGUGGCAGAGGCUUAAUUAUUUUUGGUUUCUGAAACGGCAUUGGAAAAGUAAUGUUGCUACGGGGAGGUCGCAGUCCGUCCAUCCUCCAAAAGUUGUUGUGCUUGGAUGCAUGGCUGAGAGGCUUAAGGAUAAGAUUUUGGAUGCAGAUAAGAUGGUUGACGUUGUUUGUGGGCCUGAUGCAUAUCGAGAUUUGCCACGGUUAUUGGAAGAGGUUGAUUCAGGUCAUAAAGGGAUCAACACCCUCCUCUCACUUGAAGAGACUUAUGCCGAUAUCAAUCCUGUGCGCAUCUCAAAGAAUUCGAUUAGUGCAUUUGUCUCCAUAAUGAGGGGUUGCAACAAUAUGUGCUCUUUUUGCAUAGUUCCUUUUACCAGAGGCAGAGAGCGAUCGCGUCCUGUGGAAUCCAUAGUUACAGAAGUAGCCGAGCUUUGGAAAGAAGGUGUAAAAGAGGUAACUCUCCUGGGGCAAAAUGUAAAUAGUUAUAAUGAUACAUCUGUUGUUGAAGAGAUUGGAUCAGGAGUCGACUGGAAAUACAGUGAUGGAUUUUCCAGCCUGUGCAAAGUCAGGAAUAUCGGUCUACGCUUUGCCGAUUUACUUGAUAGACUGGCAGUUGAGUUUCCGGAUAUGCGAUUCAGAUACACUUCUCCACACCCUAAAGAUUUCCCUAAUGAGUUGAUAUAUAUCAUGCGAGAUAGGCAUAAUAUCUGCAAGAGCAUCCAUUUACCUGCACAGUCAGGCAGCAGCGCGGUACUAGAAAGGAUGCGCAGGGGAUAUACCCGAGAAGCAUACUUAGAUCUUGUUGAGAAGAUACGUUCUAUAAUUCCAGAUAUUGGGAUAAGCAGUGAUUUCAUAUGUGGCUUUUGUGGGGAGACAGAAGAAGACCACCAGCAAACCUUAAGCCUAGUACGGGCUGUUGGCUAUGAUAUGGCAUUCAUGUUUGCUUACAGCAUGAGGGAAAAAACACAUGCACACAGAAACUAUGUUGAUGAUAUUCCUGAUAAAGUAAAGCAGAGAAGGUUAACAGAACUUAUUGAAGCUUUUCGGGAAAGCACAGGUCAAUGCUAUGACUCCAAAAUCGGAUCUGUCCAACUAGUCUUGGUUGAAGGGCCAAACAAGAGAGCGCCCGACUCAGAGCUUAUCGGCAAGAGUGAUAGGGGCCACAGGGUAUCAUUUACAAAUCUUCCAGUCCCCGAUAAAAACAAUAAUGGUGUGAACCGCAAUCCAAAUGUUGGCGAUUAUGUUGAAGUUCAGGUAUCAAAAUCUACUAGGGCAUCUCUUCAUGGAGAAGCACUUGCCAUCACCAAAUUGAGCUCGUUCUAUGCUGAUAUGCACGAAGAAGUUUCCACUUGUGUAAAUGUAUCUUAGGACAAGAUGUUGCAACCCCUUCUAUUUCACAAGGACGAAUUUCUCACCUGAUCAAAAUGUGUACGAGUGCAAGCAAGUGGGUUGUGAAUUUAGCGCCAAUAUGACUAUCCACCUCAUUGUUCUUAGAUUAGAUGGGGUUUGGCUUCUGGUAAUAGCUUCUGUCAAGCAACCCUUCUGGAUGCAGCAGUACCUGUUGCUGAUCACUAAAUGAAGACUUAUCAUGUUUCCUGCUUCUCGCCGAGACAGCAGGUGCUUACUUUCAAGGCAGUAAAUAUAUUAAAAUAUAUUGUGUCUUCGUUGCUUCUAAUACAGCAGGUGCUUACUUUCAAGGCAGUAAAUAUAUUAAAAUAUAUUGUGUCUUCGUUGCUUCUAAUACAUAGACAUUGUAACUGCCUUGAAGGUUCGAACUUCUUACAGGAAGCCUCCUCCUCGGUCUGAUCCCUGAUUGCUCCUCACUUGAAGGAUUGAUAUUUAUCGCUUCUAUAUUAUGUCUUUUACUGGUUGUAUUUUGCAGAUUGAAUAACCAAAGACGACUCAACUAUCAUUUCAAUGGCCAAUAGAUGGUCAGAUAUUCCAGGAAGUAGCGCAACGUACAUACAGUAAAAAAAGAAAAAGAGGAAAAGAAGAAAAAAAAAAAAAAAAGGAAUGAUGGAGAAGAAGAACGGAAAGAAGCGAAAAAAUUGAAGAAAGAAGAAGGAUGGAGAAGAGGAAGAAGAGCUCAAAGAGGGCAAGAAAGAAGAAGGAAGAAAGAGAAAAUAAAGAAAUUGAAGAAAGAAGAAGGAUGGAGAAGAGGAAGAAGAGCUCAAAGAGACCAAGAAAGAAGGAGAAAAUAGAAAGAAAGAAGAAUUAGGAUGUUUUGGCUGGGGCAAUUUGCAUUUGUGGAGUGGGUUAGAUUUUUUUUUUUGGUUAUUUUUAACUUUUUAAUUUUUAUUAAUUAUAUACUAUUACACGUACAAUUAAUGCAAAAAUAUUAAAAUCUCUUA